rnacentral:rRNA from 1 species
AUGUUGCUGGAGACUGGUAAUGAUAAAAAUGCAAUUGUGAAAAUAUUUGGAGAAAACAGAAGUAAACAAGGUAACCUGCAUGGGUUUGGUGCUGAGCAAGUCAUAUUAGUUUGUGAUGAUGCUACCAAAACACAAGUUAUUGAUCUUGUUGGUAAACAGGCUCUUGUGUUGACUAUUGUUGAAUGUAAAGGUCUUGAAUUCCAGGAUGUGCUGUUGUACAAUAUUUUCAGUUCAUCGCCUUUAGGAAACAAAUGGAGAGUAGCGUAUGGCUAUAUGAAAACCAAAAAUAUUUUAUCAUCACCUAAGGAGAUCUCUCAUCCAGAUUUCAAUAGAAACAAGCAUUCUCUUCUCUGUUCAGAGCUGAAGCAACUUUAUGUUGCCAUCACACGAACUAGGCAAAGACUUUGGAUAUGUGAAAAUGCAGAUGAGUAUUGUCGGCCAAUGUUUGACUUCUGGAACAAGUUGUGUCUUGUAGAAGUUAGAUUACUUGAUUCUUCCUUCAUUGCAGCAAUGAAGACUGGAAGCAGCAUUGCUGAUUGGAUGCGACGGGGCAUCAAGCUAUUCAACGAGUGGCAAUUUGAGAUGGCUACAAUUUGUUUCGAAAAGGCUAAUGAUGCACACCAAGAGAAGUGGGCAAGAGCUGCAGGACUUGUAGCAACUGUUGAAAGUGUCAUGCCUACUAAUUUGAUUCUGGGCCAAGAUUCAUUGCAAAAGGCAUCAGAUAUUUAUGAAUCUAUUGGCAUGCAUGAGAAAGCUGCCACUUGCUAUAUCAAGUUAGGCGACUACAAAAGAGCAGGAAUGAUCUAUAUGCAAAAUUAUGGCACUUCCAGGCUUGUCAGAAGCAGCUAUGACUGGAUGCUGGUCAGAAGCAGCUGA